ACGACAAAAUGGUGCCGCGCUGGAGCCCUGUGAGACCCCAUCGUUCCGGUCCUCCCCGCCGCCGCCCGACUCCCUCCAGCGCGCCUCCGCCCAGCUCCUUCCCCAGCGCGCCUCCACCCAGCUUCUUCCCCAGCGCGCCACCGCCCGACUCCCUCCCAGCGCGCCUCCGCCCAAGUCCUUCCCCAGCGCGCCGCUGCCCGACUCCCUCCCAGCGCACCUCCGCCGAGCUCCUCCCCGAGCGCGCCGCCGCCCGACUCCCUCCCAGCGCGCCCGUGCCGCAAUCUCCCUGUCCCCCGUUGUCGCGCCACCAUCUCCCCUAGUCGCCGCAGCACCGCCAUCUCCCCUGGUCGCCGCAGCCACGCGGCCAUCUCACCUGCCCCCACCCGUCGCGCCGCCAUCUCGCCUGGCUCCGGUCACGCCGUUCACCACCGGUGCCCCUGCUGUGCUAUAUCCUCCCGUCGGUGGGGCUCCGUCGCUGCAUCAGCCGUUCACUGCCGCUACCCGGGUCGUUUAACGGGCAUACGACAAGCAGGUCGACGCCACAGCUUAGGAGAUUCGCCGAUGCUCCUCCUUCUCGGCUAGUGGGCCAACACGGCUGUCCUCAUGGUGGCCUCCCUCCGACGAUCUGAGGUGCCCUCAUGGCCUCCUCUACUUCCUACAUAACAGUCACGGUGGCCCUCCCCCACCUACACCUACUACUUGUCAUCAUCGAUCUCGACAACGAAGGGGGGCCAAAAUAAACGUGAACCUCACCGCCCUCUUCAUGUUUCAGGAAUUGAAGAAUUUUUUAGGAAGAAAUAGCCUUUUGAGCUACUGUUGAUGGCUGGCAUUUGUGCCCCCAAGUACGAGUUUGGAAGGCCAGUAAGUUCUACUUAUGGCAUAAGCCAACGGAGCAUCGAUCGAAGAAGGCCGAGGUAUCUCGUGCCAGCUCCGGGCAUCGCCGGAGGCCCUACCUGUUCUUCCACCGCCCUGCGCACUCACCGUCGAGCCUAUCCAUGCACAGCUCUGGUAGCCCAGCGUCACAAUACACAGUGGCCGGUGGAGCAGCUCCCUCCUCUCAGCUGCUCAAUGGCUUGCAAAGGCGUGAGAUUGCUAGGAGUUCAACAUGCAGAACCGUACAUGUCCAUGUUCCUGCACCUCCAAGCAAACUCCAGUGAAGGUAAUUACACAAGUGAAGAUCCAUCCGACACCAAGGGCCGAAUUAAUAAAAUAUUGCUGGCGACUUGCUCCCAUGCCAUGGAUAUUUGAGCCCCUCGAGCUUGUUGUUGCACAAUGGUGAUUUUCACUACUGGCUGUGCGUGCGCAUUGGUGUGCUGUAGAGUGAUGUGAAACACUCAAGUCAAUUUCACAUUAACUAUCUCGUCACACACUCAGUUCAAUUUCUUGAUUUAGUUUCAGUUCAAAGACUGCGAAUGUUUGUUGCCUAACGCCACAUGGUGGUAAGCUUAUUUCAUGAGUUUCCUGAUGCAAAUUCCCCUGGCCACCCUCGCGCCACCGCAACGCUGAGGCCGUUCACCGCCGGUGCCAUAGUGCGUUCACUGCCGAUAGACGAGGCCGUUCAAUGAAGCAGCGAUGAGGGGGCUAUAAGAUGUUGACUGUCAUUGCCCUUCCAAACAUGUCGUUGGUGUCAAACCAUUCGCAGUGAGUUUCAGUCCAUAGGCUGCUCGUGAUCCUUGCUCCGUCAGUUCCACUUCGUUGGCGCCAUCAGUCCACAGGAGUAGGGGCGGUGUGGCCGUCAACAAACAAGAAUAGAAAGCACGAGGGAGGUUUGGACGGAUGCUGAUCACUAGCCCACUAUGUCGACGCUGAUCACGAAGGACACCAGCAUGUUGAGGAUGAAGUACAUGACGCAGGCAAUGAGGAUGACCAAAACAUGGAAUCCGUACACAAAGCGGCAGCUGCAAGUUCAAAUUUUCUGUCUAUGAUGAUUUGAUUGCUACUUCUUAAAGAAAAGUGUACAUGACAGUUAGAUGUUUGUACAAGAAAGGAAAAAUUGUUUGAAUUAAAAAUAUUGAUCAGUUCGAUAGUGCUCUCUCUCC